rnacentral:rRNA from 1 species
AAUUUUGGACAAUGGGGGAAACCCUGAUCCAGCCAUCCCGCGUGUAUGGUGAAGGCCUUCGGGUUGUAAAGUACUUUUGGCAGAGAAGAAAAGGUAUCUCCUAAUACGAGAUACUGCUGACGGUAUCUGCAGAAUAAGCACCGGUUAACUACGUGCCAGCAGCAGCGGUAAUACGUAGGGUGCAAGCGUUAAUCGGAAUUACUGGGCGUAAGGAGGAGGUAGGCGGUUCGGAAAUAAAGAUGUGAAAACACCGGGCUCAACCAUGGAACUGCAUUUUUAACUGCCGAGCUAGAGUAGGUCAGAGGGGGGUAGAAUUACACGUGUAGCAGUGAAAUGCGUAGAUAUGUGGAGGAAUACCGAUGGCGAAGGCAGCCCCCUGGGAUAAUACUGACGCUCAGAAACGAAAGCGUGGGGAGCAAAC